CACCGUGCGCUUGAUUAUGCAACUACGGGCGCUAUAACGUAAAGAUAUUACAAACUUUUCUAUUCAAAAUCUGCAAUCAGCACUCCGCGAUUGGUCAAAAAAAUUCCGGGCCGCUCCCAACUUCCCUUGUCUGUCACGCGACGUCACGAAAAGCGCGAUAGCUCCCCAUCUGAUAUGGCGUGUACACAUUGAAUAUGCAUGAUUAAAACGAACAAAAGAAAAAUAAUUAUUCCUGAUUGGACCUCCUUUCGCCAUUAGCCCACUGCUAUUGGUCAAAAGUUUUCGGGCUGCGCCCACUUCGCCUGUCUGUCACGCGACGUAACAAAACCGC
rnacentral:lncRNA from 1 species